UUUUAACGGCCGCGGUAUAUUGACCGUGCAAAGGUAGCAUAAUCAUUAGUCUUUUAAUAGGGGGCUGGAAUGAAAGGUUUAACGAAUCAUUAAUUGUCUCAUUUUUAUAUCUUAAAAUUUAAUUUUUAAGUUAAAAAGCUUAAAUUUUAUUGAAGGACGAGAAGACCCUAUAGAGCUUUAUAUUAUUUUGUUUAUUAUAGUAUUGUUUUAUAUUUAAAGUAUUAAAUUAUUUGGUAUUUUGUUGGGGUGACAGAAAUAAAUAAUUAACUUUUUUGUUUUUUAAACAUUGAUGUAUGAAUUGUUGAUCCUUCAUUGUUGAUUAUUAGAUUAAGUUACCUUAGGGAUAACAGCGUAAUCCUUUUUUGGAGUUCAAAUUUACAAAAGGGCUUGCGACCUCGAUGUUGGAUUAAGAUUAUAAUUUGGUGGAGUAGCUAAAUUAAUAGGUCUGUUCGACCUUUAAAUUCUUACAUGAUCUGAGU
rnacentral:rRNA from 1 species